rnacentral:tRNA from 1 species
ACCCUGGUGGUCUAGUGGUUAGGACUUGGUGCUUUUACCACUGUAGCCCGGGUUCAAUCCCUGGUCUGGGAA